ACCUCUGAAUUUAUGUGUGUUCAGUUGGCUCUUUUUCUUCCUUGCUCUUUGUUCAAAUUAAGCAUGCAGCUAUUUUUACAAUGGGCUUAGUUAUUAUUCAGGAAUUAACUCUGCUCUAAUAUAUGGCACACUUUAAUUUGUUGAAGAAUGUCAUUUUAAAUGGUGUAUCAGAAGUAAUUAGUGAAAAAAUAUUUUUGAAGGAUGGAAAGAUUAAAAUUUUCUGGAUAGUUUCUGGAUAGAGAUAAUUAUUUUAUAUCUAAGAACAAAAUACAAUAUAAUGCAAAUUCAAUAAAUAUAAUAAAUAGAGUAUGUAAACCAAUGAAAAAUCUCUGAAUGUCACCUUAAAUAAAUUAAAGUUUAGUUGAUAUGGGUUUCUUUUAAUAGGUCCGAGUGGACAGAUGAAUUAAACACGUACAGAGUGGAAGCAGCUUGGAAAUUGUCACAGUGGGAUUUGGUGGAAAACUAUUUGGCAGCAGAUGGAAAAUCUACAACAUGGAGUGUCAGACUGGGACAGCUAUUAUUAUCAGCCAAAAAAAGAGAUAUCACAGCUUUUUAUGACUCACUGAAACUAGUGAGAGCAGAACAAAUUGUACCUCUUUCAGCUGCAAGCUUUGAAAGAGGCUCCUACCAACGAGGAUAUGAAUAUAUUGUGAGAUUGCACAUGUUAUGUGAGUUGGAGCAUAGCAUCAAACCACUUUUCCAGCAUUCUCCAGACCAGAUUACAAUGAAAUGGUUGGAGAAUGCUGGCUGCAGAGUGCCAGGGUAGCUAGAAAGGCUGGUCACCACCAGACAGCCUACAAUGCUCUCCUUAAUGCAGGGGAAUCACGACUCGCUGAA
rnacentral:lncRNA from 1 species